CUGGCUCAGGAUGAACGCUGGCGGCGUGCCUAACACAUGCAAGUCGAACGAAGCAAUUAAGAUGAAGUUUUCGGAUGGAAUCUUGAUUGACUGAGUGGCGGACGGGUGAGUAACGCGUGGAUAACCUGCCUCACACUGGGGGAUAACAGUUAGAAAUGACUGCUAAUACCGCAUAAGCGCACAGUGCCGC
rnacentral:rRNA from 1 species